rnacentral:rRNA from 1 species
CGGAGGGUGCAAGCGUUAUCCGGAUUCACUGGGUUUAAAGGGUGCGUAGGUGGGUUGGUAAGUCAGUGGUGAAAUCUCCGUGCUUAACAUGGAAACUGCCAUUGAUACUACUGAUCUUGAAUGUUCUGGAGGUAAGCGGAAUAUGUCAUGUAGCGGUGAAAUGCUUAGAUAUGACAUAGAACACCAAUUGCGAAGGCAGCUUGCUACAGGGAUAUUGACACUGAGGCACGAAAGCGUGGGGAUCAAACAGGAUUAGAUACCCUGGUAGUCCACGCCCUAAACGAUGGAUACUCGACAUUUGCGAUACACAGUAAGUGUCUGAGCGAAAGCAUUAAGUAUCCCACCUGGGAAGUACGACCGCAAGGUUG